UCGCACGGGAUCACUUGAGUAGUAAUACAAGAGUGGUCUAGUGGCGCACGGGUGAGUAACAUGUGAAUUACAUGCCCUAUAGAGGGGAAUAGCCCAGGGAAACUUGGAUUAAUACCCCAUAGUCUCGCAAGAGUAAAGGUGGCCGCAAGGCUGUCGCUAUAGGAUUGGUUCGCACCCUAUCAGCUUGUUGGUGAGGUAAUGGCUCACCAAGGCUACGACGGGUACCUGGUCUGAGAGGACGAUCAGGCACACUGGAACUGAGACACGGUCCAGACACCUACGGGUGGCAGCAGUCGAGAAUAAUUCACAAUGGGGGCAACCCUGAUGGUGCAACGCCGCGUGGAGGAUGACGGUCUUCGGAUUGUAAACUCCUGUCAUCUGGGAGUAAGGCAUGGUUGUUAAUAGCAAACAUGAUUGAUAGUACCAGAAGAGGAAGGGACGGCUAACUUCGUGCCAGCAGCCGCGGUAAUACGAAGGUCCCAAGCGUUGUUCGGAAUCACUGGGCGUAAAGGGAGCGUAGGCGGCGUGGUAAGUCAGAUGUGAAAUCCCGGGGCUCAACCCCGGAACUGCAUCCGAUACUGCCAUGCUAGAGGAUUGGAGAGGUAGCUGGAAUUCUUGGUGUAGCAGUGAAAUGCGUAGAGAUCAAGAGGAACACUCGUGGCGAAAGCGAGCUACUGGACAAUUCCUGACGCUGAGGCUCGAAGGCUAGGGUAGCGAAAGGGAUUAGAUACCCCUGUAGUCCUAGCAGUAAACGGUGCACGCUUGGUGUGAGGGGAAUCGACCCCCCUUGUGCCGGAGCUAACGCGUUAAGCGUGCCGCCUGGGAAGUACG
rnacentral:rRNA from 1 species